rnacentral:snoRNA from 1 species
UUUCUAUUUUAUCUGAUUCUUCCUCUAUGCACAAACUCAGCUUCAGUCAUUAGUAUCAUUAAAAUUAACUUCUAGAAAUGACGCAAAGGAA